UUGAUGUGGACUUGCCUCACCCCCUUUGU
rnacentral:piRNA from 1 species